rnacentral:rRNA from 1 species
GAACGGGUGAGUAACACGUGGGUGAUCUGCCCUGCACUUUGGGAUAAGCCUGGGAAACUGGGUCUAAUACCGAAUAGGACCACGCGCUUCAUGGUGUGUGGUGGAAAGCUUUUGCGGUGUGGGAUGGGCCCGCGGCCUAUCAGCUUGUUGGUGGGGUAAUGGCCUACCAAGGCGACGACGGGUAGCCGGCCUGAGAGGGUGACCGGCCACACUGGGACUGAGAUACGGCCCAGACUCCUACGGGAGGCAGCAGUGGGGAAUAUUGCACAAUGGGCGCAAGCCUGAUGCAGCGACGCCGCGUGAGGGAUGACGGCCUUCGGGUUGUAAACCUCUUUCAAUAGGGACGAAGCGCAAGUGACGGUACCUAUAGAAGAAGCACCGGCCAACUACGUGCCAGCAGCCGCGGUAAUACGUAGGGUGCGAGCGUUGUCCGGAAUUACUGGGCGUAAAGAGCUCGUAGGUGGUUUGUCGCGUUGUUCGUGAAAACUCACAGCUUAACUGUGGGCGUGCGGGCGAUACGGGCAGACUAGAGUACUGCAGGGGAGACUGGAAUUCCUGGUGUAGCGGUGGAAUGCGCAGAUAUCAGGAGGAACACCGGUGGCGAAGGCGGGUCUCUGGGCAGUAACUGACGCUGAGGAGCGAAAGCGUGGGGAGCGAACAGGAUUAGAUACCCUGGUAGUCCACGCCGUAAACGGUGGGUACUAGGUGUGGGUUCCUUCCUUGGGAUCCGUGCCGUAGCUAACGCAUUAAGUACCCCGCCUGGGGAGUACGGCCGCAAGGCUAAAACUCAAAGGAAUUGACGGGGGCCCGCACAAGCGGCGGAGCAUGUGGAUUAAUUCGAUGNCACGCGAAGAACCUUACCUGGGUU